rnacentral:SRP_RNA from 1 species
UCAAGUCCUCCGCAAUGGAAAUUUGUGAACCCCGCCAGGUCCGGAAGGAAGCAACGGUAAGCAAAUACUUUCAUGUGCCGGGGGAGUGCUUGAAUGG